CUAAUGUAUAAACAAAUAAAAAUAUGUAAAUACACACACAUAAAAAUAUUAAGGAAAACAUAACAACUUUUUGUAAGUUUCAAAUAAACGAUAAAUUUCAACCAAAAUGCACUGGAGUUGAUUAUAAAACUAAUUUCAUUAUGAAAAUAAUAGUAAGUUAUACAAACUUAGACUUAAGAAAUAUUGGAUAAGACUAACUUUCUUUUUAAAACGGCAAUACAAAAGUGAAAUGUAGGAAAGUGUCUUCGUGAUUUUCUUUGUACAAUAUAUUAUUAUCUAGUCGGUCAACCAAUAUGUGAGGGGAAAGUUACUAACGACCGAAGAAUUCCUUUGAAGUCGCAUAAAUGGCAAAUAGGUUUUCAAAAUAAGCUAAAAAGUUAUUUGUCACGGUCUCUGAAUACAGGGUGUUGAUUUCAAUCCUCGCCAUAUUUAUUUAGGUGCUCUAGUAUCUAGCUCUAGCAUUAUCCACCAAAAAAAAUUACAAACGAAAGUGGAAUUUUUAGCGAAUAUUUUUCGUGUGAAAUCAACUUGCCUACUGUGGCUCUCAAAACUGCAAUAGUUUACACUGCGGCACCAUCAAGCUACGCGGAUCGCUCGCUUAUCAUAUCGGAUAGCCUACUGAAGGAAGCCACGUAAAGUAGGUAGUGUAAAUAGGUAUUUUUCUUUGACUAACUAAAGUUAAAGUUCGUUUUAAAUUUUUUUACUGAUUCGCGAUCAGAAUAAGCCACUUAAUUAUUGAAAUAAUAAGCCACUUAAUUAUUGAAAUCAACACCCUGUAUAGAGACGGUAUUUGCUUUGCUCUACAAAGACGUAUUCAUAAUUACUCCAGCUAUUAUCAAUGCUCGCACGAUACCAUUGACUGGCAAAUGGCAUAGUGAAAUGUGGAAGUACAUUGUCAUUAUGGGCCGAACAAUACAUUUUAUGUAACAUUUAGAUUGUUGGCAGUAUGAAGUCGAAUUGUCGUUAAAGGUUACCAUCAUUACUGUUAUGUGAUUUGCGAACUUCUCGGAAGUUAUUGCAGCCAUUUCUAGAACCUCUUUCGUUUUCAUUACCUUUUUAUCAUCCAAAACAAUAUCACUUAUUUAAAAAUCAACUUAAUGUUCCUUUACAAUACUGCCGACAGCCGAAAUUAAUCCAAUUAACGUUACUUUUUAUAUUUACAAACUAAUAACUACUUCUAUCGAUACUUAUUCGUUUUAACUGCAAUAGUUUCACGUCAGUUUGGUUGUUAUAUAAAAUUUAAUCAAUUAAGAUCAUAAAAUUGCUUGUUAUAAUAACACUUGAAAGUUUUAAUGGCGCCAAAAGCUGUUGCAGUUAAAAUACGAACUUGUCAAACAAUAAAAUGUUAAUUAAAAUUUCAUCGGAUAAACUGAAGUUCUACAGUGCUGAUUGAAGGAUAAGGAUUGCUUUAUAAUUGUUUUAAAAAUACUGAAGACAAUGAAUUAGUUGCGUUAAGUUCCAUUCUUAAAAACGAUGAACAUUAAAGGAUUCAAGAUAAUUAUGACCCAGUCCUAAUUUUCGGUUAUCAGAUCUGCGACACCGCUACAACAUCGUACCUGACACCUUUGUUUCACUCCAAAUUGAUAACAUCUCAACUAAUUCAGUGGUUUCAAAAUUUAAAUUUUAGUAAGCUGUGCCCGCGACUUCGUACGCGUGAAAAUAGUUUGAAUAAUAUUUCCCGUUUUUUCAACAUUUUUCUUUACUGUUCCGCCCUUAAGUUUAAGCCUUCGUAGAUUAAUGGGCUAUCCAAAACAAAAACAGUUUUCAAAUCGACCAGUAAUUUAUGAGAUUAGCGCGUUCAA